GACUGAUUUAACACCAGAGGACAGAAAAAAAGAAAACUCCUCCAAAUAUGUUAAACAGGAUGUUCCUGGUUUUCAUAUUAUAUCUCUUUCACCUGCCAGUGAAUAAUGGUGACUCUAACAACUACAAUGUCCUCCAAACACCUCCUUUCAUCAUCAAGAAACCUGAUGAAUCUGUUCUCAAUGAGAUCCAAUGUUCACACAGUAUAUCUAGUUUUCAGAACAUCCUUUGGUACAAACAAGACAAACACGGAGCUCUUAAGUACCUUGGAUAUAUGAAUUUGCAGUUCCCUAAUAUAGAGGAGAAUGUGAAAGACAAGAUCAGCUUUGAUGGAGAUGGCAGAUCACAUUCAACCCUAAAUAUUUCUACAGUUUCAGUAGGUGACAGCGCGGCGUAUUUCUGCGCUACCAGUCAGCACAGUGCAGCAGACUUUCCUGAAGUCAAUACAAAAACUCUGCAAGUGGAUAAAGAUCUGAACACCUGCCUCUGACUGUGUCUGAUGGAUGGGAGGAAGACACCCAGUCCUCUGUACUGUGGAAAUUUCAGUGUGAAAAUGCAACGAUGGACUGCAAACCUACCAAGGGUGGUCUCUAUUACAGAUGUACUGGUACAGACAGUUUUCAGUUGUUGACAGUUGUUUUCUUCUUCUGUCUUGUUCUGUUUUCUUCUGUCAUUAGAUGUCAGCAUCAGACCUUUAUGUUAAGAGGAGGAUCCUCUAUGACACCACCUACCUAAGGAUUAAAUGUCUUCACCAAUGCUGUUUGAGGACUGACGCUCAGAAAGAAGCUGGAAAUAUGAAGUAUAGCUGCUGAUGCAUGAAGGGAAAUAUUAAACUUUAUCAGCCCAAACAAUCUGGCCUUGAAUUAUUUAAUGCAACCAAAGAUUUAAAGAACAGAAAAUGAUCUUUUUUCUUUGCAUUGCUUUCACCAACAUUCUGGUUUCAGGUUCUUCUCUCAGUGACAAAAUCCGACAGAAACCAGCAGAAAUGUAUAAAACACUUGAAGGAAAAGCCAAGAUUAAUUGUUCCCAUAAUGAUGGUACAAGCAAACAAAAACAGACCUACAGCUCCUUGGAUACUGUUAUGUAGGCUCUGGAAGCAUAGAGAAAGGGGUAAAUGUGAACAUCAAAGGAGCUGCAAAUAAAGGCGACACCUGCACAUUAACGAUUGAAGGACUCGAUCUGAGCAGCAGUGCAGUUUACUUCUGUGCUGCUAGAUUACACAGUGCUGCAUGUCUCUGCUCCUCAAUAC